rnacentral:rRNA from 1 species
GACGAACGCUGGCGGCGUGCUUAACACAUGCAAGUCGAACGGAAAGGCCCUGCUUUUGUGGGGUGCUCGAGUGGCGAACGGGUGAGUAACACGUGAGUAACCUGCCCUUGACUUUGGGAUAACUUCAGGAAACUGGGGCUAAUACCGGAUAGGAGCUCCUGCUGCAUGGUGGGGGUUGGAAAGUUUCGGCGGUUGGGGAUGUACUCGCGGCUUAUCAGCUUGUUGGUGGGGUAGUUGCUUACCAAGGCUUUGACGGGUAGCCGGCCUGAGAGGGUGACCGGCCACAUUGGGACUGAGAUACGGCCCAGACUCCUACGGGAGGCAGCAGGGGGGAAUAUUGCACAAUGGGCGGAAGCCUGAUGCAGCAACGCCGCGUGCGGGAUGACGGCCUUCGGGUUGUAAACCGCUUUCGCCUGUGACGAAGCGUGAGUGACGGUAAUGGGUAAAGAAGCACCGGCUAACUACGUG